rnacentral:rRNA from 1 species
CGGAGGAUCCGAGCGUUAUCCGGAUUCAUUGGGUUUAAAGGGUGCGUAGGCGGAAUAGUAAGUCAGUGGUGAAAUCCUGUCGCUUAACGACAGAACUGCCAUUGAUACUGCUAAUCUUGAGUACAUUUGAAGUGGGCGGAAUGUGUAGUGUAGUGGUGAAAUACUUAGAUAUUACACAGAACACCGAUUGCGAAGGCAGCUCACUAAACUGUAACUGACGCUGAGGCACGAAAGCGUGGGAUCAAACAGGAUUAGAUACCCUGGUAGUCCACGCUGUAAACGUUGAUAACUCGUUGUUGGCGAUAUACUGUCAGCGACUAAGCGAAAGUGAUAAGUUAUCCACCUGGGGAGUACGGUCGCAAGAUUG